AUUUGAUGGUGAGGGCACUUAGCAAGUAACCCUUGGAACCUUGCCCAAUAUUCAUAAAAGGAUUCAUUAAAACCCUAUUCAAUCUCAUAAAUUUGUUUCCUCAAAUU